rnacentral:lncRNA from 10 species
GCGGACCGGGCUGCAGGCACGGGCCUGAGCGCGGCGUUCCUCAGAUGUCUGGACCCGCAGGCCGCUCAGUUUCCCGGUGUCCGCUGGCAGCCUCGAGCUAGGGGCGCGCUCUGGCCCGCGGUGCAGUCGCGCAGUAUAGCAGGGCGGCCUUGGGGCUCUGAGGCCCAACCGGCGAAAGAAGUAGACUCGGCCCUAACCAUCUCGACGCUACAAUUUUUGUUUCUGGAUCUCUGAAGUAGGGCCCAGUUCCCGAGAGAGAGUCUGGGGAUGACGGGAUGAGUUUCCGGGGCUGAGCGAUGCAACUGUUUUUUGCUGAAGCCCCUCUCCCCGAUCCUAACCCUACUGUCUUAUUCUUACCAUCUUUCUUUCCUUUUUUUUCUUCUCUGUUUUAAUAGCUGGGGAGUGAGUGCUGUGGAGUGAGGGGGAAAUAAGAUAAACAUGAGACCUGGCCCAGUAGACGCGUUUUCAGUUCUUGCUGACCUGCGGUCUCCGCUUGGAGCGCUGGGGGAGAGGGCGGAGUCCCCCGGCAGAGGUGAAGCGAGAGCUGCUUUCUGGCAGCGUUUCCAGCCUGGAAGGAGUUGUGCUCUGUAAUGCUUUUCUGAAUUGCAUUCGGCGAAAGGAGUAGGAAACUGCGUUUAUUCCUUCACCAGAUUUGAGGGCAUCUGCUGCGUGCCAGGCUGCCUGGCAUUGGGGGCUGUUUAUGAUUUUCUUUUCCUCUUUUUCUGAUUUCUUCCCCCCCACUGACGAAUAAGUAGAAAUAAGUGAGGAUUUAACUGUGAGCCUCUAGUAUGCAGAUGUAUGCUGAGCGGUAUUGGGGUUCAGCAGAUACUCUCCAAACACUUGAAAAUACUGUCUUGUAAUA